rnacentral:lncRNA from 1 species
AUUACAAAUUUGAAAAUUUAAAGUUUAAAAUUUUAGAUUUUAGAUUUUAGAUUUUAGAUUUUAAAUUUUAGAUUUUACAUUUUAGAUUUAAGAUUUUAAAUUUUAGAUUUUAGAUUUUAAAUUUGAAUUAAAAAUUUAAAUUUAGAUUUAAAAAUUCAAAAUUUGAAUUUUAAAUUUUUAAAUUUCAAAUUUAUUUUUAAAAUUAAAAUUUUAGAUUUUAAAUUUUGUGCAAAUUUAAAAUUUAAAAAUUUUAAUUUGAAUUCAAAUUUAAAAUUUUAAUUUUAAUUUUAAUUUUAAAUUAUUUUAUUAUAAAAUUUAGUAAAAUUAUUAAUAUAUGCAAACAUCAAAAAUUUUUUGCCAAAUAGCUUUACAAAAUCACUUCAAAAAAAUCGCUUUUAUUUAUACUUAGCCAAAUGCUAUACAGCUUUUAACCAAAAUUAAUUCUCCAAACCGAAAUUAAUUUUGCAGAAAUCACUUUUCCAGAAUAUAGGCCAAUCGGGCCAUAACCUUAUCAUUCAC